GACGGGCUCGAACGGCAGUGGCGGUCCGGCGUGCCGGCAAGUGCAGUACGCAUACCAUUCGCUUGCACGGCGCGCGCGGGUCCGGCCAGACAAACGCCUCCCCGCAAUCAAACCGUUUGACCUCGGAUCAGGUAGGGAUACCCGCUGAACUUAAGCAUAUCAAUAAGCGGAGGAAAAGAAACCAACAGGGAUUGCCUCAGUAACGGCGAGU
rnacentral:rRNA from 1 species